rnacentral:rRNA from 1 species
GAUGAACGCUGGCGGCGUGCCUAAUACAUGCAAGUCGAGCGAACGGACGAGAAGCUUGCUUCUCUGAUGUUAGCGGCGGACGGGUGAGUAGCACGUGGAUAACCUACCUAUAAGACUGGGAUAACUUCGGGAAACCGGAGCUAAUACCGGAUAAUAUUUUGAACCGCAUGGUUCAAAAGUGAAAGACGGUCUUGCUGUCACUUAUAGAUGGAUCCGCGCUGCAUUAGCUAGUUGGUAAGGUAACGGCUUACCAAGGCAACGAUGCAUAGCCGACCUGAGAGGGUGAUCCGCCACACUGGAACUGAGACACGGUCCAGACUCCUACGGGAGGCAGCAGUAGGGAAUCUUCCGCAAUGGGCGAAAGCCUGACGGAGCAACGCCGCGUGAGUGAUGAAGGUCUUCGGAUCGUAAAACUCUGUUAUUAGGGAAGAACAUAUGUGUAAGUAACUGUGCACAUCUUGACGGUACCUAAUCAGAAAGCCACGGCUAACUACGUG